rnacentral:rRNA from 1 species
GAGUAACGCGUGAGGAACCUGCCUCAAAGAGGGGGACAACAGUUGGAAACGACUGCUAAUACCGCAUAAGCCCACGGUGCCGCAUGGCACAGAGGGAAAAGGAGCAAUCCGCUUUGAGAUGGCCUCGCGUCCGAUUAGCUAGUUGGUGAGGUAACGGCCCACCAAGGCGACGAUCGGUAGCCGGACUGAGAGGUUGAACGGCCACAUUGGGACUGAGACACGGCCCAGACUCCUACGGGAGGCAGCAGUGGGGAAUAUUGCACAAUGGGGGAAACCCUGAUGCAGCGACGCCGCGUGGAGGAAGAAGGUCUUCGGAUUGUAAACUCCUGUUGUUGGGGAAGAUAAUGACGGUACCCAACAAGGAAGUGACGGCUAACUACGUGCCAGCAGCCGCGGUAAAACGUAGGUCACAAGCGUUGUCCGGAAUUACUGGGUGUAAAGGGAGCGCAGGCGGGAAGACAAGUUGGAAGUGAAAUCUAUGGGCUCAACCCAUAAACUGCUUUCAAAACUGUUUUUCUUGAGUAGUGCAGAGGUAGGCGGAAUUCCCGGUGUAGCGGUGGAAUGCGUAGAUAUCGGGAGGAACACCAGUGGCGAAGGCGGCCUACUGGGCACCAACUGACGCUGAGGCUCGAAA